AUAUUUUGUUAUUUAGAUUUAUUGCUAGUUCCAUGUU
rnacentral:tRNA from 1 species